UCCGCCACCUCCCUCUCUUCCCCCAAUCACCGCACGAGCCCUCUCCUCGCCAAUCCCUAGCUCUCCUCCUCCCCCAAUCAGAGCACCGUCUCUGGCCCCUCCGGCGCCACCCCAUCUUUCCCCUCCGCCAUCCCCACCUCCUUGCCAAGCCCCUUGCACCAGAUCGACCGGGACCGCCCAAGAAACGACGAUGGGAGGAACGGCGCCGCACAUAUCAAGGGGAGGUGGCCGGCUGGACGCCGGUGAGAUGUCUCCGGCCAGCAGGAUGCGCCGGUAGCGGAGACGCGAGCCACGGUGGCCGUCGCCCCUAAACACCACCACUCGCUGCAUGGAAACGGUGUUGGUAUUCGGUGGUCUCCGCCUGGCCGGCAACGGCGGCUGGAUGCUGCCAGGAGGGACGGUUUUUGGGGUGGUGGCUGAUGAAGGACGGAGGAUGGAGGAGGAGGAAGGGAUGCGGCGGUCUGUCAAGAUUGGGAGAAAAGGGGACAUUACUACCCGUCGUCUUCUAGCUAUGGGCACAGCCAUCCCGUAUCUGCUCGUCUGCACCUGGUUCAGAUUUCUGAUUUAAAUCAUGAAGCAUGGAGGUGGAUCCUAUUUACCAAGGAAGAAGUUGGUUACAAUAUUCCUUUGAAGGAUACAUCUGCAAGAUUCGCUGGGUGCUCCUGAAGGUGGCCGCGGUUGGAGGAUGGAUUGCCUAUUGUGAACUAUGAAGAUGCACUCUAUGUCGGCUUAUUUGGUUUGCCUCCGAUAAAAGAGCACCAACGUCACAUUUGAGAGCUGCAGCAGCAGCCAUCCUUAAAUUGACACUUCUUUCCAAAAACAGGUAUAUUCUAGAUGUCAAAACUGGCCCAACGCUGGAGAGGAUGGUGCUGCGGGUGUGUCUGGACCAGGCCUUAGAGCGCCGCCGUGUGCGCGAGGCCUUCAGGGAUGCGCGGCUCAAUGUUGACCACUGCCUCUUCAAGGUCGUCCCAUGUGAAGUUGCAGAAGACACCCUUCUGUGAGGGUUGCAACUGCCUAGGAAGGACCCGUGUGGCCAAAUGUUCAGAUGGUUGAUGAUAGGGGACAUGAAGUUAUUGCGUAGAUCUUGCCGUGGAAGCGAUGAGGAGCAGCAACAGCGGGAGGUGGGAGCUAGGAAAAGCAGGAGCUUCCAGUAAUUAGCUACAGCGAACACGGCAUAUUGAUUGUGAGGAGUUGGUGCUCCUUCAUCUCCUCUCCUCGGACAAGAGAUGUCUGCGGGAUGUCUUGAUCCAGUGAUGCGCAGUGAGGAUAUGGUGGGGCCUUAUGUCGUGUUUGCAGUGGUGGCUCCCCUGACAGUGCGGUGGCCUCAGCCAGAGCAAGGCGGCCUGCCAGCGACCUCGCCAUCUCCGGCUUGUUCCUAGAUGGAUUAUGUCGAUCGUUGGCCAGCAUUGGAAAGAACCAUUCUUCCACUAAAUACAAUGCAGAUGCUGUGAUUCAACGGCUCACUUCCCACACAAAGCUUUUUACGUUCUUCUUCCAGGACAUAGAUGGGUCUCUCCAUGGGAGCAUAGACAGACAAAAGAAAUAAGAUCCAACUUGAUGCUGCUCCAUGUGAGGUGCUGACGUGAGUUGAUGAUUUUGUUUUGAGGCUGAUGCGGAGACCGACGAAGUGUACACGCAAAUGACGCUGCAUGUGUAUCUAGACAAAGUGGAGUCAACCAAUAUGGGUAAGAAACAAGCUCUGAAAUAAGACAUGGACUACACAUGAACCAGGCGGCCUUAGACGUUUUAGUUCUCGUUGGCAUUUUAAUAUGCACUUCUAAUGAGUUCGUGUAACCUGCACUUUUUUUGGCAUCGGUUUCAGAUGUUCGUAUACCGACUUGUUAUAGUACUAUGAUCUACAUUUAAUUUCCUUUCAUGUACUUCAAUUACAGUCAGAACUUGAAAUAUAUGUGAUGCUUGUGGUAAAAAAAUGUGUGGCCU